AGAAUCAACGCUGGCGGCGUGCCUAACACAUGCAAGUCGAACGAGAAAGUGGAGCAAUCCAUGAGUAAAGUGGCGACCGGGUGAGUAACACGUGACUAACCUACCUUCGAGUGGGGGAUAACAUCGGGAAACCGAUGCUAAUACCGCAUAAUAUCGCAAGAUCAAAGCAGCAAUGCGCUGGAAGAGGGGGCCGCGGCUGAUUAGCUAGUUGGCGGGGUAACGGCCCACCAAGGCGAAGAUCGGUA
rnacentral:rRNA from 1 species